UGGUUGGAAGGGUUGCUCGAUGGUGAUUAGUGGUUGGGCAUGGGGAUCAAUGUGGGCUGGUAGCUGAGUGUGUUGAUGUUGUGGUACAGGUGGGCUUGAAGAGAGGCCUAACAAGGCAUGUGAUGGACUAUUGUCUAUGGUAAAUGCUCAAAAUAGGCUCAAGAUUUGAAGUGGAGCUUGGACGUUGGAUAGCAUUUUGGUGGGGCACUAUUGAGUGAGGCAAUUUAGAACUAAAUGUAACCCACCAUGUUUGCAAAUUUGAAAGCGAUGAGGAUGUGGUGGAAGGAAGAGAGGUAAUAUUUUGAUAUCGAAAGAAAAAUUCAUCAAAGACAAUAUAUCUGGAUAAAAAAAUAUGACCUAAUUUAAUGUCAAGGCAUCCAUGCCCCUUUUGAUUGGUACUGUAGCCAAAAAAAUAUUGCAAGAGGACUUAAAUUUAAGGGCAAAUUGGAGUGAGGCAAUAAGCUUAGGGUGGUUUCAAUAAUAUGGCGAUGUAUUUGUUCAAAAACACCAUUUCAUUUAGGCAUAUGUGGACAUGUUAAAUGA
rnacentral:lncRNA from 1 species